rnacentral:rRNA from 1 species
UACGUAGGGUGCGAGCGUUAAUCGGAAUUACUGGGCGUAAAGCGUGCGUAGGCGGUUCUCCAAGUCCGUUGUGAAAGCCCCGGGCUCAACCUGGGAAUGGCAGUGGAAACUAGGGGACUGGAAUCUGGCAGAGGGGGGUGGAAUGCCGCGUGUAGCAGUGAAAUGCGUAGAGAUGCGGCGGAACACCGAUGGCGAAGGCAGGUCUCUGGGCCAUUACUGACACUGAGAAGCGAAAGCAUGGGGAGCGAACAGG